rnacentral:rRNA from 1 species
GAUCCUGGCUCAGGAUGAACGCUGGCGGCGUGCCUAACACAUGCAAGUCGAGCGAAGCGCUUUGCUUAGAUUCUUCGGAUGAAGAGGAUUGUGACUGAGCGGGCGACGGGUGAAGGUAACGCGUGGGUAACCUGCCUCAUACAGGGGGAUAACAGUUAGAAAUGACUGCUAAGUACCGCAUAAGACCACAGCACCGCAUGGUGCGGGGGUAAAAACUCCGGUGGUAUGAGAUGGACCCGCG